rnacentral:rRNA from 1 species
CCCUUAGGUGCUCUGAGCUGCACGCGCGCUACACUGAUGCGUUUAACGAGUUUAUGACCUUGCCCGAUAGGGUUGGGUAUUUGUUAUAUAGCAUCGCGAUGGGGAUAGACCGUUGCACCUGUUAAUCUUCAGUGAGGAAGUCCUAGCAAGCGCGAGUCGUCGGCCCGCGCUGAUUACGUCCCUGCCCUUUGUACACGCCGCCCGCCGCUCGCACCGAGUGAGUGAUCCGGUGAAUAAUUGGGACUGCACCAGUACUCAGUUCCUGAACAUUGCAGCGGGAAGUUUAGCGAACCUUAUCAUUUAGAGGAAGGAGAAGGCGUAACA